rnacentral:rRNA from 1 species
GAUGAACGCUGGCGGCGUGCCUAAUACAUGCAAGUCGAGCGAACAGACGAGGAGCUUGCUCCUCUGACGUUAGCGGCGGACGGGUGAGUAACACGUGGAUAACCUACCUAUAAGACUGGGAUAACUUCGGGAAACCGGAGCUAAUACCGGAUAAUAUAUUGAACCGCAUGGUUCAAUAGUGAAAGACGGUUUUGCUGUCACUUAUAGAUGGAUCCGCGCCGCAUUAGCUAGUUGGUAAGGUAACGGCUUACCAAGGCAACGAUGCGUAGCCGACCUGAGAGGGGGAUCGGGCACACUGGAAAUGAGACACGGUCCCGACACCCCCGGGAGGCAGAAGUAGGGAAUCUUCCGCGAAGGGCGAAAGCCCGACGGAGAAAAGCCGCGUGAGUGAUAAAAGGCUUCGGAUCGUAAAACUCUGUGAUUAGGGAAAAAAAAAUGUGUAAGAAAAUAUGCACGUCUUGACGGGAGCUAAACAGAAAACCACGGCUCAAUACGUG